rnacentral:rRNA from 1 species
AUGGAAGGCGAGAAGCAGCCGCCGCCGGCAGUGGACAGCGUGUCCAAGGUGCUUGACGACGAAGACCUUCUCGUAGAGAUCCUCCUCCGCGUCGCCUUCCCCAACACCCUUGUCCGCGCCGCCCUCGUCUGCAAGCGCUGGCUAGGGCAUGCCUCCGAACCGGCUUUCCUCCGCCGUUUCCGCGAGCUCCACCCGCCCCGCCUCCUCGGCUUCUACAUCAACAACAACGGGUACGGUCACCCCCCUCCACCGUCCUUCGUCCCGAUGUUGCCUCAGCCCGCAGAGCUCGCUGCCAUUGUCCGCCGGACAAAUUUCAAUGCCUACAGGAGGCUAUCGACCGGCACGCUUGACUGCCGGAACGGCAGCGUAUUCAUCGCCUUGUACAACGACAAGAGAACACUUGGGGUGCACCGCCCGCUGUGCCGUGGUGAGAGAGGUCUGACAAUCCUAUCAUCAGUCCCACGCCCUCAACUCCCCUUCGGCACUUGCUGCACUUUCAGUCAAGUCGUCUCCAAGGAAGGGGAUGGCCUGUCCUACUACUACUUGUAUGUGGAGUCUACCAUGGGUGAAUCUAGGCUGCAUGUAUAUAUGAUGCAAGAUGGUUCCUGGCACAUGCAUCAUCUGCUGGACAUAGGCCAACUCCUUCGUCCUCGUUCAAAACCAAAAGCUGUGCUUGUAGAUAAUAAAAUUUACAUGGCGGCUGGCCCAACCAACAUCGUUGUCUUGGAUUUGAAGACACUGAGUUUCUCCACAGUUCAGCUUCCACAAGGAGUGGAGCAUGGCAGCAGAGGCACCACCAUGUUGUCACGGGCCGGUGAUGCUUCUGGUGUAUAUCUCAUCCAUGUUAAGGAGUUUCAACUCCGCAUCUGGCUCCGCAAGGAGGACAACUGGUUGCUGGUCGAUAGCAUCUGCCUGCAUGAAAUGUGUGCUAAUUUGAGGAAGUCAGAUUCUACAAUCAAGAAUGGGCAUAAUGUUCUUCUCAUGGACCAGGUGGUGGACUAUGGUGACUUUGUGUUCUUGCAGAUGGGUGGAUGUGUACUGCACUUGGAUGUCAGGUGCAGGACACUACGUAAAGUGUAUGAAUACAGAAGCACUCAUCUUGGUGAUAUCCAUCCUUUUACAAUGAUCUGGCCUCCCGCAUUCCCCACGGUCAAGUACGAUCCUGCAAGGUUUGUCUUCUGGUAUUUUGAUGAUCUUGUUGAGAACUGCAACCUAAAGAAGAAAGAUACAAGGAAGCUCAUGGAUUGUACCUACGUCGUGAAUGACAUGGGUGGAAUCAAAGUAGGUAUCUCGUCUCAUCUGCUUGCUUCAAAGUCUUAUGAUUCCACUGCUUGGCUACUUAAUAAAUUUGGAGAAGCACAAUUGUAA